rnacentral:rRNA from 1 species
UACAGAGGGUGCGAGCGUUAAUCGGAGUGACUGGGCGUAAAGGGCAUGUAGGCGGUUAUGUUAGUCUGAUGUAAAAGGUCCAGGCUCAACCUGGGAUGUGCAUUGGAAACGGCAUAGCUAGAGUAUGGGAGAGGGAAGUGGAAUUUCCGGUGUAGCGGUGAAAUGCGUAGAGAUCGGAAAGAACACUCGUGGCGAAGGCGGCUUUCUGGCCCAUAACUGACGCUGAGGUGCGAAAGCAUGGGGAGCAAACAGG